AGAAGACACCCAUGAAUGUGUCUUUUAGAAGAAAAACAACACCUCAAGGUGUGAUUAUCAACUUUUUAGUUAUAACUUCCUAAAAGACACCUUCAUAAAGGGUAUCUUCUAGCAAAACCCAUAACAAAAUCAUAGGUCGUGGAAUUUUUUAGUGAAAACUUACGGUCACAUUUCUCAAACACAGCCACAACGGAGAGCAACGAAUUGGGGAGAAUAUUCCACCAUAAGACAAUCUGGUUUAAAUGGUAAUUCACAUUCAUAUGCUUGACAAUCAGAAUGUUGUAAGCAGUAAACUAAUGGAGAUUUGAAAAGGCUAGAAAACGGCUUACUGUCAUCACUCAAUGCAACAACAAAUAGGGUAAGAAAGAUAAGCAUAACAUUAACUAACUUGGUAACUUCAACCAUAUUGUCACCCCUUUACAAGUAAUAAAUAUUGUAUGUUUUUAUCAAUUUAAAAUAUUCUUCAUACAUACAUUAUAUAGAUUUGAGCCCAGACUUGUAAAAAAAUAUUAUGAUUAAAAUAACAAUUAUGUGUUGUGUUUGUCUCUUCACCGCACUUAGUAAAGAGGUCACGUUAAAAAAAAAAACACCAAUUAUAAUAAGUAAUUCUUAUUUUACCAAUUUUAUAACAUUUCUUGAUCGAAAAGGAUAAUAACAGAAAGAGAAAUGAUAUUUGUACAACCAAUUUGUGAUAACUUUUAUACAAUUUUCUCUCUUAUUCUUACAUGAUUGUCUUAUCCUUUCUCUUCCUUUUUCUCUCUCCAUUGUUUUUGACCAAUAAGAAAAGAAAAAAAUAAGGUUGUCACUAAAGUUAUCAUGAGAUGGAUGUACAAAUAUCAUUGCUCUUUCAAAUUCAUUAAUUAUUUCUUCAUAGAGCAUAAAAAGUUAAGGGAUAAUAAUCUUUUUGAUCCUCAAAUGUAUCGAAAUUGUAAAAUAGUCCGUGAUUGUGAACUUUAUUAGUCAAAAUAAUCUCUCGUGUUAAAAUAUUUUGUCAAUAUUGUCAUAUCAGUCCCUAAAUAUGCUUGCUUAGUAUAAUAUCAAUCCUUAUAAAUAUUUACUUAUUUUCGUAUCAAACCAUAUAAGAAAAAAUUAUUGUCAACAUUGAGGGACUAUUUUAACGUCAGUGACUAUUUGAUUAGCAAAGUGCACAAUCAAUGACUAUUUUGAAAUCUCGAUACAUACAAGGGCUAUUGUGGCUAUAUUUUUUUUAAGGAGGGACUAUUGUGUCUAUUCAUUGCACAUUUAGAGACCAAAAUGACUAUCACCCCAAUAAAUUUAUAAUUGACGACGAUGAUGUAUGUAACACCCAAAAAUUCUUCCAUGUUUGCUUUUAGAAUUUAGUGAAGGUUUUGUAGCGCUUAAGUGUAUAAGUUGUACUAACAUUGUGUUUACCGGUGUUUUUAGUAAACAAUAAGACUAGUUUUGAUUAUUACAAGGAGGAUUAAAGCAGAAAUCCUAGGACAUAUUGCGCAAUCUUUUUCCAUAAAAUAUAUGAAUGUUCAUCAUAUUCAUAGGUUGUUUUAUGAACAAGAUUGUUGGAACAAAAUAUGUUUAACAUUAACCUUUGAGAGUUUUGAUGAUAACAAGGUAUUAAAAAUUGUCAAUUAGAUAUGCUAAUAUUUGUUAAAGUGUACAGGAUCAUAGACAAAAUUUGACAUCUUAAAAAGGUCUUGGAAGAACAAUAGAGAGCAAAGGAAUCAACAAAAAGGAAGCUUAAAGCGUCUGAAGAAAAUUGUUCCUGAAGACAAAGUGCUCCUGAAGUGGUGACGUCAUCAGAAGCAAGUUCAUCAGAAGCUGAAAAUCACCAGAAGCUGCAGUUCAUCAGGAGAUGCAACUUAAAGCUUCAAAGGUUGAUCAAUGUAUUUAAUCUCGUCUAAGUAUUACAGAAGACUGGAAGAGUGAACCAACGGCUAUUUUGAAAGGAUUUGAAGGCAUUGGAUGCUUGUUCUUCAAAGAGCGUUGACAAAAUACAAGUGUACGAAGUGUACAACCCCUACCUCCACUACUCUGUUUUUGUCUCUGCUACAAGACAAGAAAAACAGCUUUGCCUGCAAUGAUGUUUCUUCACAAUGGGAAUGCAUUUGAAAUUGAUCCUUCAUAGGACAAUAACCAUAUCAGGAAAUAGAUCAUUGGUGAUUGAUCAAAGCUUCAAACGACUCUAUUUUGAUGUGGUAGCAAUUCACAACGUCUCUUUCACACCUCUAUAUAAAGGAGUGAAGACUUAGAGUUUAAUGUAGAACAAUACCAAGAAUUGCAAGUGCCAAAACUCUACUGAAAUUGUUCUGCACUCAAAAGUUCACUUAGAAUUUCUUAUCAACUUUCAUAUCUUAGAAAUUCUAGAGUCAUAAGAGUCUGUAUAUGAUUUCUAUUGUGAACACUACUGAUUGUAUAUCAAGUGUUCAACCUCAAACAUUUUUCUUGUAAUUUUGUUUGAAUUUAGAAGUCUCUUGUAGUUGUGCUUGACCAAUAGAAGUCUCUUGAUUGUGUUCAGGAGCAUAGGAAGUCUCUUGCAGUUGUGCUUGAGCAAUUUGAAGUCUCUUGCUAGUUUUAGCAGUUAGCAAUUGUAAUCAGAUAUUACAUAGUGAACUCUCCUUGGAAGUGCAAGGGGGACAGGACUUGUCGCGUCAUUUUUCGGAGAUCAAGGCUAUUUGAUUAGCUUUUGACUCACUAAUUUNUUUGUGAAUCUCACCCCUUCUGCUUGGAAAUGUUACCCUUCCUAUGGGUAACUUGCAGGUGAUCUAGAGUAGUAGAUAUGGUGGCUCAAGUGUCUAGGGCUCUGAUACGUAACAGGAUGGGAAUUAGUUGUUUUAUUUUCAUUCCUUAUGUAUCAAUUUUGGAACAUGUUGUUGGAGUCUCUUUAUUGUUGCUAGUUUUGAAACAAAUGUUGAUGAUUAAUUACGUUGAGGCCUUUGUGCCAGAAUUUAAUGUUGGAUGUUGAUGUUAUUUAUUUGAAAGAUAUUCCGCUGCAAGUUAAUGAUGUUAUAAAGUUUGAUGUUUAUUAAAUAGUAUUUUAUUCUAUUUAAGAAAUUUUGAAAAUCAGCGUGACAUUCCCGUUGAUGGUUGAACUCUGAUUUAUUUAUUUAAUAUUUAGCUAUUUGGGAUAACGGGGUGUUACAAAGGCCAUUUCAAUCCUCGAGCGAAGCGUCCCCCUCCACGCUGCCAAUUAUGUGACUUUCCUGGCCAUAUAGCCAAGUAUUGCCCACAACUUAUGCAAUCUAGUCCCAACGCUAAUUUUGCUGCUGUAAUUGCAAAAUGGAUCCUUGACAGUGGAGCCAAUCAUCACAUCACAGCAGACUUGAACAACUUAAGUCUUCACUCAAACUAUGAAGGUCCUGACUCAGUUAGGAUCGGAGACGGUUCAGGUUUAGCCAUUACACACAUGGGUUCAACUCAUUUCUCUACUCCUUCUACUGUUUUUAAUCUUAAAAAUGUUUUGUGUGUUCCAAAAGCAAGUCACAAUUUAAUUUCUGUUGCCAAAUUUUGUCAACAAAACAAAGUGUAUAUUGAAUUUCACCCUUUCUCUUUUUCUGUGAAGGAUCUCAAGACGGGGGCAACGUUGAUGUGCGGUCCAACUAGUGGUGAUCUCUACACCCUUCAACCCUCACUCAAUACUCAACCAAUCAAUCUUCAUGCAUCUAGGUCCACCAACACCCUUUGGCAUGCCCGACUAGGCCACCCCUCACCCAAGACACUCCACCAAGCUCUCAAGACAUUUUUACCUUCAAGUUCUCAUAUUUUCAGUACUACAUGUAAAUCGUGUUUCUUGAAUAAGAGUCAUAAAUUACCAUUUCAUGAAUCAUCAAUAAAAACUUCUACUCCAUUUGAAUUAAUUUUUUCUGAUGUUUGGGGUACCUCUCCAAUAACCUCUGUCAAUGGUUAUCGUUAUUAUCUUAUUUUUGUUGAUCACUUCACUCGUUAUUCAUGGCUAUAUCCCUUAAAACAAAAAACAGAAGCUGUCACAAUCUUUCAUCAAUUCCAAAAAACUGUUGAAAACUAUUUUUCCUUUAAAAUUAAAUCUAUUUACACUGAUAGAGGGAUAGAAUAUCUAAAAUUAAAAUCCUAUUUUUACACACAUGGAAUAUCCCAUUUCAUCUCUCCACCAUACACCCCAGAGCACAUCGGACUAGCCGAGCGUAAACACCGACACAUUGUUGAAACAGCUCUCACAAUAUUAAGUCAUGCUUCCAUUCCCCCAAAAUAUUGGUGUUAUGCAUUUCAAGCAUCUAUAUGUCUUAUUAAUAGAAUGCCAACUCCUUUACUUAGUCACAAAUCACCUUUUGAAUGUCUUCACAACAAUCCUCCAUCCUAUAAAAAUUUCAAAGUUUUUGGGUGUCUCUGCUAUCCUUGGCUACGUCCAUAUGCUCCAAAAAAAUUAUCCCCAUGUAGUACGCCAUGUGUUUUACUUGGUUAUUCUACACAAUAUCACUCUUACAUUUGUCUAGAUCGAGCCACUCGAAGAGUGCAUUUAUCUCGUCAUGUUGUUUUUGUUGAAGACCAGUUUCCUUUCUCCCAUCAAAACCCCCAAACCUCACCUCCAUUACUGCCCACUCCCCAACAUCCGUGGCUCCCACUCCCUAAUAUCUUAACCCACCCACAUCAGCCUAGAACCUCAGAAACCAUAAUCCAUAAUUCAACCACACCUCCAUCAACCAAACCCACUCCUUCAAACACAAAUAGCAUUCAACCAUCACCUUCACUCACGCUUACAUCCUCAUCACAAACCACACCACCAUUGGAGCGCAUAUCAACGUCAUCCUCUGAAUAUUUGAGACCCAUCACACGAUCCAUGCAUAACAUACACAAGCAAUGGCUUCUUCUGAAUGGCGUGCCAUCAUCGCUUGAACCUACAUGUGUAUCACAAGCAAUGGCUUCUUCUGAAUGGAGUGCCGCCAUGGCAUCAGAAUUUAAUGCAUUGAUGCAACAGGGGACUUGGGAUCUAGUUCCAAAAAACACAGCGUCUAAUCUCAUUGGAUGUAAGUGGGUGUUUCGGGUGAAACGUCGGCCAGACGGCUCCAUUGACAGAUACAAGGCACGUCUAGUCGCGAAAGGAUUUCAUCAAUGUCAUGGACUAGAUUAUGAUCAAACAUUCAGUCCUGCGAUUAAGCCUUCAACAGUUCGGUUGGUUCUUACAUUGGCCAUUCAACAACGCUGGCACAUUCACCAGUUGGAUGUAAACAAUGUGUUCUUGCAUGGUAAGCUUUCAGAAACUGUAUACAUGCAACAACCACCAGGAUUUCAUCAUCUAGAUUACCCUAAUCAUGUUUGUCGGCUAAAGAAAUCUUUGUAUGGCCUAAAACAGGCCCCUCGGGCAUGGUUCAACACCUUACAUUCUUUCUUACUCUCCUAUGGAUUUGUCAAUUCAAAAUCUGAUCCAUCAUUAUUCAUCUAUCUCAAAGGUGAUGUCAAACUCUACACUUUGGUAUAUGUUGAUGAUAUUUUAAUUACAGGCAACAACAACCAUGCAAUUGCUAAGUGCAUUUCAACACUAGGCACUAUGUUUUCCAUCAAAGACUUAGGUUCCAUUCACUUCUUUCUUGGUGUUGAAGUCAUUCCUACUACUCAAGGAUUAUUUCUGAGUCAACAUAAAUAUAUUCAUGAUCUACUUGACCGCACAAAGAUGAAAGAUGCAAAGAUUGUCCAUUCACCGAUGUCUACAUCCUCUCCUCUUACUAAAUCUGAUGGCGCAAGUGAAGCAGAUAGUACGGAAUACAGAAGCGUCAUAGGGGCUCUACAAUAUUUGUCCAUGACAAGGCCUGACAUAGCCUACACUGUAAAUAAGUUUGCACAGUUCAUGCAAUAUCCAUCAUCUACACACUUUACAACCUUGAAAAGACUUCUUCGAUAUCUCAAAGCCACCAUGUUUCAUGGACUUCACUUGAAGUGCACUUCUUCUCAAAAUCUAUAUGCAUUCAGUGAUGCCGAUUGGGCUGGAAAUCGAGAUGAUUAUACAUCCACCUCUGCACAUGUUACAUUUUAUGGUUGAUGGGAUAAAACCGCAAGUGCACGGUCUUACCGAAGUAGUAAAAUAAGAGUAUCGUUCCGACAGGGAGUUAUGAAUUCAAUUAACUUUUAAUGAUGAUUAGAUGAAAGAAUUUUAGAUAAAAGUUUGNGUGAUGAUUAUGUUGUGUUGUUUAAGUUAUUAUGAGAUGAUGAUUAUAUUGUGUUGUUUAUGUUAUUGUGAGAUGAUGAUUAUGUUGUGUGUUAAAAGAUGAUAUUUAUGAAGUGAUGAUCUAUGUUGGUUAUGAUUUGGUUAUUAUGUGCUAUAUGAAGAUGUUUAUAAUGUGAUGAAUAUGAAGUUAAUAAUGAUUAGAAGUUGGUUGAGUUAUUAAGAAGUAUUACAUUAAGAAUUAUUAUUACUAAUAGAUGAAGUCUAAGUCAUAAUUCAAUUAAGAGUCAUCAUCACAUUAUCAUCAUAAUCAUCAAUAAUCAUCGACAUCAUCUGUAACACCCCGUUUUCCCAAAUUGAAAUUUUUUGCAUAAAUCAGAGUAAACAACUAAAACAGGAUGCUACACUUCUUUCAAAUAUAAAUAUAGUAAAAUUACUAUUUAUUUCAAUCAUCUCAUGUCAUCAAUUUAAAUCUCAAUGCAGCGGAAAAACAUUUAAAUUAAACAUCGUGUUGGCACAACGGCCUCAACUUAAACAACUUAUUAAAAUCCAGUCUAGACAAAUCUUCAACAUAAAAUCAUAAUAAAUAUGUAACACAUGGAAAACAAGUAAAGAUCCCAAUCCCGUUACGUAUCAGAGCGACCCUAAGACGACACAUGAAAGAGUCACUCACUUCAACAACUAUCCUUGCUUAAUCUGCACGUUAUCCACGUAGAGGCAACAUUCAAACAGAAGGGGUGAGAUUUCACAUUCAAUAAUAAUAAGCAUAUAAUUCAUCAAAUGCACUUAACAACUUAAUCAACUUCAUUUAAUAAUAUUAAUUCUUCACGUAAUUCUUCAUUAAAAAUUCAUUGAUAAAUAACAACUUAACAACAAUGACAAUGCGACACGACUUCAACUUGACAAUGCAACUUCGACAUCUUAAUCAUCUUGACAAUGCAAAUACAACUUCUUAAUCAUGCAUGUGGUACCAACCAGGGCAUCAAGCCCCCAACAUAAAGAGCAUAAAUACACUCACAGGGCAUCAAGCCCUCAACUUACAGAGCAUCAAGCCCUCAACGUAAUAUGUAUGAAUAUACAUUCUAGAGCAUCAAGCCCUCAACUUUAAUGAGUAUGCAUGGACUCAACAACUUACAACUUAGACAAACUUGAACAACUUAUAUGACUCCAAUAACUUGGAACAACAUCUUACGACUUUGCAACUUAGACCAACAUUUGCAUCUUAAUGAAUAUUAAUAAUCACAACAGCAGAGACAUCAACAUUAAAUAACAUGCAGCAUAGCAAUAUAAAUAAUAACAUCUUGAAUGAUAUAAGCAAUAAUAAUUUCUAUAUCAACCAUCUUCCACAUAAUAUAAGUAUUUCACAUUAAGUAACAACAUUAAUCAUCUUAAUUCACGCUCUCUGAACCUCAUUAUAAUCUUAAACAACUUUGAUUCCUAUCCCAAAGACCAACUCAUAAGCUCACGUGCGACAAUGAUCGCAAGAACCCUAAACAAGGUUGACUGCCACUGAGUAACUCGCGAGGCGAGCCACUCUACUCGCUAUGGCGAGUUUAGAAAAAAAGGUACUCGCUAUGGCGAACUAGCUACUCGCCAUGGCGAACUAGGAAUCAAGGCUCUCGGGAGUUUUGACAUUUUUCACUCAAAAAUCUCAUUCUUAACUUCUCUAUGUUCAAUUUUGAUCCAAAAACUUGCCUAAUCAUUCCUAAACAGGUUAAGGCACUCAAAACCAUCUAAAACUUGACCUCUAACAUUAAUUCACAAAAUUAUGUUUUCCUCACUAGUCAACUCGCUAUGGUGAGCAACUACUCACAAUGGCGAGCAACAUCUGGGUUACUCGCGAGGCGAGGGGGAUUACUUGCAAGGCGGGUGAUGAACUUCAUCACUCAAGAGGCCAAGGAAGCUACUCGCCUAGGCGAGCGAUGAAUGUCAGCUCGGACAGAAUGCAGAUUUUCUCAAAAAUUCACCCAAUCCCAUGGUUCUAACCUUAAAACUGAUUCUAAUCAUGGUUCUAUGAAUAGUCUAAGGUCUGGACAUUAUUUCUACAUCAAUUCAACAGAUUCUCACUCUUAAUUAAUCAAUUCUCCAACUUUUAACCUAAUUCUCCAAUCCUCAAAACUACAACCUACAACUUGUUAAAUCCAUUUUCAGAAUCAUACAACUCAGAAUUAGAGAAAGUUAGUCCCACCUUUACUUUAGAUUGGUUUAUCGAUCGGUUCUCCCUCUUGGUUCUUCUCUUCUCUUGUUUUCUACUUUUUUCUCCAAAAACAGUUUUCACUGAUUCAGAUGGAACAAUAAGUAAAACAUCGCUUUAAAUGAGAAGGUAGAUGACUGUAGCUCAAUCUUAAGGCAGGAAGAAUGCUACACUUAUCAGUUGGUAAUUCCCAUAUCCUACUAUAACAUAUACCUUCCCACUCCCCAACAUCUUUUGUACGUAGGAGACUCCCUAGUGCUUUUGCGGCUAGAGGGAGACCAUUGCACUUUUUUACUAUUUUUUGGCCAAUUUGAGCCAACAUGGGAUGCUCGGUCGGGUUCACUAAGUUGAAUGCAUGACUAGCUAAUAACUUCCAAGUAUCUUCAUGAGAUAAAUGCGAGAGGGAAUGAAUUAAAUCAGCUCCGAUCAAUGUUGNUGCACUCAGUUCUGGAAGUGCUCGCGAGGCGAGAGCAUCUGCUCGCCAUGGCGAGUACAAGCCAGAUUCCCAACUAAGGUUGUUCCAGGUUCAUUCUUGUUCUAAAACAUCCUCUAAUCGUUAGUAGACACCUAAAGGUACUCAAAGGCAUCUGAGGUUCAACUCAAAAGGUCAAAAACUCAGAAUUCGACAUGCUCUCUGGUUAUGCUCGCUAUGGCGAGUAAGGUUGCUCGGUGUGACGAGCUACGACAUGUAACUCGCGAGGCGAGGGGCAAUGGCUCUCGUGGCGAGCGAUGAAGUUCAUCACUCGCCGUGGCGAGGAUCAUGGCUUGGGAGGCGAGCGAUGAAUUUCGCUACGGGCAGUAGUGCAGUUUUCGCCUAAAAUCAUUCAAUCUCUCGGUUCUAAGCCUAAUUUCAAUUCCAGAGUUCAUCCUAGACAUGUUCUAAGGUCAAGGGACGUUUUCUACAACAAUCUAAUCAAUUUCUACCGUUUGAUCAUCAAUUUUAGGGAUUUGACCUAAUUUCAAAACUUUCUAAUUCAAUCCUAACUUUGUCAAUUAAUCAUCAGAAUCAUAGAAAUUAACAUUACAGAAUUAUUAGUCUCAGCCUUACCUUAAAUUGCAGAAAUCGCAGCUCUCUCUCUAGUCUUCUCCCUUCUACAGCUUUUCUCCAAAAACAGUCGUACGUGCAAUUGUUUUUCUAAACUAGGUCUAUCCCUUUUAUAUCUCCUCUUAAAAUCUUAUCUGAUCUCACUUUCUCCCCCAAAACUCUCUAAAAUCUCAAAACAGCCCUCAACUAAAUAUUCUAUUUUAUUUUCAAAUCUUAUUUUAUUUAACAAUAAAAUAAGUCUCAUAAUCUCAUCUAAUCAUCAAAACACAUCAAAAACAUCCAAAUCAUCUAAACCGUCAUAAAUCAACAAAACUCACACAUAUAUUAUAUAAAUAUAAUAUAAUCGUCUAAAAUCGAUUAAAUAAUUAAUUAAACGAAAGUGGGUGUUACAUCGCUCGCCUAGGCGAGUAGCCUUUCCCGCCUCGCGAGUGAGCAAUGUUCAUAGCUUGCCUCGCGAGCAAGACAACUCUCCAUGGCGAGUACCUGUGAGCAAAAUCUGAUUUUCAAAUUGUUGUUAUAAGGUAUAAAUUGGUUAGUUUUGAGUGCCUGAAUGUUUUUAGAGAGGACUGGGACAAUUUUCAGAUUAAAAAGAUGAAUAGGGAGCUUAAAAAUGAAGUUUUAGUGAGAAAAAUGUCAAAACUCCCGAGAGCACCCUUUUUCUCGUUCGCCUCGUACUCGUCACCGCGAGUAACCCAUUUCCUGAUUUCGCAAUAGCGAGCAGAUGUGCUCGCGAGGCGAGUUUCCCUGUACCUGAAGCUGUUUGCUCUGUUUGAAUAUAAAUGAAUGAACUUGAUGAAGGAACUUGAUUCUAGUUAAUUGUGUUAUUUUCUGGAGCUAUUGAAUUAAUUUUAAUGAUUUGUUGAUGACUGUGAUGUAUGCUUAUAUCUAAAUAAAUCAUACACGUUGUUGAAUUGUUGGGUUGUAAGUCAUAUUUAUAUAUAUAUAUAUAUAUAUAUAUCNCCCCCCCCCUUCUUGUGUUUUUCUCACCUUCAAUUGGUAUCUAGAGCCUUGGUUUGUUGUCAAAACACUUAACAGUGUAACAGAAAAAGAUCUGAGAAAAACAUGUCUGGUGCGGAACCUGAAUCUAGUACAAGCACUGCUAUUCCAUAUGAUUAUGGUAGCAACAAGAAAUAUGACUAUGGAAAAGUUCCAAAGUUCAAUGGAGAUCCUGAAGAAUUUUCCUGGUGGAAGACCAACUUCUAUAGUCAUGUCAUGGGCUUAGAUGAAGAACUAUGAGACAUACUAGAAUAUGGUAUUGGUGACUUGGUCGUUGAUGAAGAAGGAGCUGCUAUUGAUAGAAGAAAACAUACUCCUGCUCAGAAGAAAUUCUACAAGAAGCAUCACACAAUCAGAGGAGCACUUGUCAAAGCUACACCUAAAGCAGAGUAUAUGAAGAUGAGUGACAAAUCCACUGCUAAGUCAAUGUUUAUUUCCCUAUGUGCUAACUAUGAAGGUAGUAAGAAAGUCUGAGAAGCAAAAGCACUUAUGCUUGUUCAUCAGUAUGAGGUGUUCAAAAUGAAAGAUGAUGAAAGUAUUGAGAAAAUGUGUAACGCCCUAUUUCUAUUAAAGCGAUAAAACACGCGAAUAAUAUAAAUAUUCAAGAAAUAGACGCCACAUCAUCAAAAAAAUCCAAAAUAACAUGCAUGUAUAAAAAUUCUCAACAGUUGCAGCGGAUAUAAAUCAUACACCUCAAAAGUAUACAUGCCAUGAUAACGAAAUAUAACAUCAUAAAAAUUCUCUAAAUCCCGACAAUUGGGUAAAUCUCCAUAACAUAAAUAUAAUCCAAAAUAAAUGAUCUAGAGUAAUCAUAAGACAGACACCUAUAGAUCAGAGCCUAUCCUAGACUCUAAGGAAACGAUAAUGAAGAUAGCUCCCGCUAUCCAAGCAACUAAUCCUGCACUUCGUCUACCCAUGCAUACAGGCAGGUAGGCGGUCAAAACCACUGGGAUUAAGCUUUACAUCAAUCAUAAUCCACAUAAAGAUUUUGACAUCAAUUCAAGUAUCAAAUAAUUAAUCAUUGAGCAAUUAAUUUUUGAACACACAUUCAUGCAACAAUUCCAAAUAUCACAAGUAUGUAUUCAUCAAACACACUUACCAUCAACAAUCAUCAUUCACCUGCAACAAAUAAGACUCAUGUCAAUAUGAUAUGCGCCUAUUCCCGACACAUAUAUGUAUGUGGUACCAAAUCACCUCAAGGUUGUAACGCCCUAGUCGUUAUUUAUUUAUUUAUGAUUUAUUUAGAGUCUUUUAUAUGAUUUAAAAUUAUUUAUGUUGAUGUUUUGGUGUGUUAUAUUUUAUUAAUGAUUUAUUUUGGUAUUAAUUAGAAUAUGUGAGAAUCUGAAUUAAUUGGAGUUUUGGGGGUCUUAUUAUAAUUAAUAGAAUUAAGAGGGAGUUAAAUAAAAUAAAGGGGAGUUAAGUUAGGAGUUAAGAAGGGAGAAGUUAGAAAGAAACUGUUUUAUGUACAAUAGAAAGUUGGGAGAAAACCAGAGAAAGCCAAGAAGAGAACUAGGAUUUCUGUGAGCUUUAUUCUGCAAAACUAAGGUAAGGGUGAGGUUUACUUUCAAUAGUAUAGAUUAUAAUUCUGAUUUUGAGUUUAACAUAGUUCUGGUAAAAAUUGGGGAUUUGGGUUUAGUUUCUGAUUCUUUGAUUUUGGAUGGAAGAGUAUGUAGAAACCUUGUUUUAGUGUUAGAAAUGCAUUCAGGUUGUAGACAACAAUUUAUUACACUUCUGUAAACUGUUUUGGGAAUUGAAAUUGAAAAAAUUGGGAUUUUUGGGAAAAACCUGCAUUCUGCCCGUACUGACAUACAUCGCUUGUAACACCCCGUUUUCCCAAUAUGAAAAUUUCUAAAACAUUUAUCAGAGUAAACAGCAUAAAUAAACGGGAUAUCACAUUUAACAUAAUCCAGAUCAGUUAAAUAACAAUUUAACAAAAUAACUUAAACGUUGCAGCGGAAAUUACUUCAUAAUCCAUAAAUCGUUUUGGCACGUAGGCCCCAUCAAAAUAUCUCAACAGUUACUCAAUGUCAUAACAUAACAUAAUAGUUUCCGUAAAAGAAUGAAGCAUGCAUGACAUAUAACCCCAUCCCGUUACGUAUCAGAGCGACCUAGACGACUCAGUAAGGCAAGACCACUCACGACAGCGAACUGCACACUUAAGCACGAUCACCUGCAAGUUACUCAUACGAAGAGCAACAUUUUCAAGCAGAAGGGGUGAGAUUUCAGAACACAAUAACAUUAAUCAAUAUAAUUCGAAAUCAUAAUUAACAUCAUAAUCAGUCUUAAACAUCAUUGCAUUUUUGAUAAACAAUUAUCAAGUAAUCACAGCUUCAAUCACCAUCAAUAACAUAAACACCUUUAGACUCGACAAUGCGACAAUGCAACUUAGACACUUAUAUGCAUGUGGUACCAAUCAUCAUAAUAGUAUUAAUAUACUUUAAUCGUGUGGAGGACAAAGCUCCUAUCGUGUGGAGGACAAAGCUCCGAUCGUGGUGAGGACAAAGCUCAAUGUAUGCUAAUGCAUGGACUCUAUCAACAAAACANUCUCUUAAAAUCCCUUCAGUUAUUUCAUUCACAUUUGAAGUCUCUGACACCGAGGCCCAUGAUCUAGAUUGAAAAUGGUUCCUCACUCGUUCAUCAUUGUACAAAACUUGAGCAAGAGUAGUCUUUCCUACCCCUCCCAUUCCAACAAUCGCAACUACCGGCACCCACUCUCCAUUGGAGUCUCCAGCCAACAAGAAGUCUAUAAUCCUCCUUAUCACCAUGUCUACCGUACACACGAUGUUCAUCCACCAAAAAAGUUGUCUCCAAACCUAACGAGAGUGGUUUACCUACACCCGCUUCCUUAAGACCAAGAAGAUUUUUAUGCUCUAAUAUAGAUUUCAACCUCUCAACUACCCUACCAAUUUUAGAUUGAACUCGUUCAGAAAAGGGAUCGAGAGAGGAAGCAUAAUCUUUUACCUGAUGUAUGGUUGUGUUGAACCUAGGAUCCAUCUUGUCUUGUAUGGCUUUGGUGGCUAUCUCAUCCAAGACAUCAUCAGCAUCAUAGGCAGCAUUCUUAAGCUUAUCAACCCAUUCCUUCACGAAUGGAUCAAAAAACUGCUUCUCCUCAGCAUCAUUAAGCACUGUAGUGACAGAUAGCAAAAACAUCUUCAACUUGUCUAGAAGUGCCUCAUCAAGAUGGUUUCCCCUAAAGAAGUCGAUAAAAUCACGAUGAGCUAUCCUAUCCAACAGUACUUGCAAGAUAGCAGAGACAAAUGAGCCUAGCAUAUCAACCAUGAUGGUGUGAUUGUAUAGCUAUAACAAAGUGAAAAGUGAAAAAAGUGUAAUGAUUAUUGGUGUAUGUGUUGCUUUGUUGAGACAAUGAAGACACAAAAAGGAAAUGAAUAAAGGCAACAAUAUUGUUUAGAUAUAAUCUGAUCAUCUCAUAAUUUUUUCUGGACCAGCCAUGUUGCUUCAAUUGUUAGGGAGAAAUUUUCCAAACUUCCAAUAUAUCUAUAUUUAUCUAGUGGAUGAAUCCAUCAUCCUAACACCUUAAACUUUUCUAAUGGAUAUUUCCGAUUCUCGGGAUGACAAUGCCUUUCUUUGCUAAUAUAUCUAUAUUUAUCUAGAUGUUAUGCAUUUGAAGGUGGGCAGGAAUCAAAUUAGGUGUGUCUUAAAAAUUAUGAUUGGCCGUAACACAUUUUCACUAAACCGGCUUGUGAGGUGGCGAUUGCCCCCACUUAUAAACACAUGUUUAGGUAAUAUUUUGUCUGCUGUGAAACUCUUUAAUACAUCUUUUACGACCAGCACUAUUGAGCAUUAUGUGUGGAUAUAAAUGGUGGGUGACCCGAUAGUGGAAACCUGAUAGCAGGUGUCCAAUAGAUUUUGGAGAAGACUCUGAUAUCAUCUUAAAAAUUGUGAUUGGGUCGUACACAAGCCCACAAAACCAAUUUGUUAGGUGAGGAUUGUUGAAAUUUAUCAUCAUCAUAUUUACAUACAUAAGAUCGAAGUGGACGAAAUCCAUUGUAUGUUUAAUAAAUCUAUAAAUAGUUAUAUUACAUUCAUCUUAAUGGAAGGAAGAAAGGUUUAAAUACUACUAAAAAAUAAAAAAUAGAUAAGAGUGAGUUAGGCCCCAAUUUCAACCGUAUGAAUGGUUGAAAGGACUGUGUGAUUGUUUUGUUCUUUGACAGGUGAAAAGCUUAAGCAAGUCCACUCUGAUAUCUUAGAAGGAACUCAUGUCAAUUGGAAUUACACAAAAAAAAGCACUAUUUUUCAAUUCAAUUAACUUUUACUAAUUAAAAUAUUAAAUUUUAUUCGUCCCAAAUUUACGGAUUUCCUAUAUACGUCGAAACAAAUUUUUAUGUAUCAAUAUGAAAAAAUCGAUACGAUAAAAUUUUAAAAAUUAAUGAUUAUAAACAAAAUGUCAUCAUUAAGGUAAGAGUUCUACUAAAAAAAAUAUAUGCAAAACACCGUUAAAUAUUAAACUACACUAAUAUUAUGCAAAUUCAAUAAUAUAAAUAUCUCUUUAUAAAAUUUCCACAAAUUGUUUAGUCUCCAUCCCAUACUUCUAAAGUUUUACCAAUUGCAAAUAGGGAAAUAAUAUCUAGACAAGGAUCUAAAUAAUAUUAUUUUAUUUCUUAUUUCAUUUGAUUACCAUCAUCUUAGAGUACAAAAUCCAUAACUAUAACGUCUGCAAAAAUAGAUAGAAAAAAAAUAUAAUUAAUUGUUCCCAACAUAAUAACAAAAGGGAUUUGCCAAAAGACACCCAUGAAGGUGUUUUUUUAGUAAACCACACCUCAAGUUGUGAUUAUCAACUUUUUAGUUAUAACUUCCUAAAAAACACCUUCAUAAAAGUUAGUUGGUGUCUUUUAGCAAAUGUCUAUAAGAUAACUUACUAAAAAACACCUUCAUAAAGGGUGUCUUCUAGCAAGCAUAACAAAAUCAUAGGUCGUGGAAUUUUUUAGUGAAAACUUACUGUCACAUUGCUCAAACACAGCCACAAGCAAGACGAAAGAACUGGGGAGCAUAUUCCACCAUAAGACAAUCU
rnacentral:lncRNA from 1 species